rnacentral:rRNA from 1 species
AGUUUGAUCAUGGCUCAGAUGAACGCUACGGCAGGCUUAAUACAUGCAAUUCGAGGGGCAGCAGGUUUGUAACAAUACAAAUGCUGGCGACCGGCAAACGGGUGCGGAACACGUACACAACCUUCCUUUAAGUGGGGAAUAGCCCAUACAAAUUUGGAUUAAUACCCCGUAACAUUAUGAUGUGGCAUCACAUUAUAAUUAUAGCUCCGGCGCUUAAUGAUGGGUGUGCGGCUGAUUACGUAGUUGGCGGGGUAACGGCCCGCCAAACCUGCGAUCUGUAACUGGUGUGAGAGCUCGACCAGUCACACGGGCACUGACACACGGGCCCGACUCCUACGGGAGGCAGCACUAAGGAAUAUUGGGCAAUGAAGGCAACUCUGACCCAGCCAUGCCGCGUGGAUGAUGAAGGCCCUCUGGGUUGUGCACUUCCUUUAUUUGGGACCAUCAAGGGCUUGUCUAAGUCUGCUGACGGUACCAGAUGAAUAAGCACCGGCUAACUCCGUGCGACCUGCCGCGGCAAUACGGAUGGUGGGAUCGUUAUCCGGAUUCACUGGGUUUAUUCGGUGCGGAUGUGGCUUGUAAGAGUCUGGACCGUGUCUCAGAUCUAGUGUGGCUGGUCGUCCUCGCAC